UGGGGAAUAUUGCACAAUGGGGGAAACCCUGAUGCAGCAACGCCGCGUGGGUGAAGGAGCGUUUCGGCGCGUAAAGCCCUGUCAGCGGGGAAGAAGAAAGACGGUACCCGACCAAGAAGCCCCGGCUAACUACGUGCCAGCAGCCGCGGUAAUACGUAGGGGGCGAGCGUUAUCCGGAAUUACUGGGUGUAAAGGGAGCGUAGACGGCGAGGUAAGCCUGAAGUGGAAGCCCGCGGCCCAACCGCGGAACUGCUUUGGGAACUGUUUUGCUGGAGUAUGGGAGGGGUAAGCGGAAUUCCUGGU
rnacentral:rRNA from 1 species